AUUCUGCCCAUGCGGGGAAGGAUGAGAAGCCUCGACCAAGGUUCGACUUGAGCGCCAGCGAGAGAGCGUUGCCGCAGGCAACGACCCGAAGGGCGAAGCGCGCAGCGCUGAGUAAUCCUUCCCCCACCACCA
rnacentral:sRNA from 1 species